rnacentral:rRNA from 1 species
UGGGGAAUAUUGGACAAUGGGGGCAACCCUGAUCCAGCCAUGCCGCGUGUGUGAAGAAGGCCUUUUGGUUGUAAAGCACUUUAAGCAGUGAAGAAGACUCCAUGGUUAAUACCCAUGGACGAUGACAUUAGCUGCAGAAUAAGCACCGGCUAACUCUGUGCCAGCAGCCGCGGUAAUACAGAGGGAGCAAGCGUUAAUCGGAAUUACUGGGCGUAAAGCGAGCGUAGGUGGCUUGAUAAGUCAGAUGUGAAAGCCCCGGGCUUAACCUGGGAACGGCAUCUGAUACUGUUAGGCUAGAGUAGGUGAGAGGAAGGUAGAAUUCCAGGUGUAGCGGUGAAAUGCGUAGAGAUCUGGAGGAAUACCGAUGGCGAAGGCAGCCUUCUGGCAUCAUACUGACACUGAGGUUCGAAAGCGUGGGUAGCAAACA